GAAUUGUUCGCAAUGGGCGCAAGCCUGACGACGCAACGCCGCGUGGAGGAUGAAGGUCUUCGGAUUGUAAACUCCUGUUGCUCGGGACGAAUGGCUCCGACCUAAUACGUCGGAGUGUGACGGUACCGGGUGAGGAAGCCCCGGCCAACGCUGUGCCAGCCGCCGCGGGAAUACAGAGGGGGCAAGCGUUGUUCGGAAUUACUGGGCGUAAAGGGCGCGUAGGCGGCCUGCUAAGUCGAACGUGAAAUCCCUGGGCUCAACCCAGGAACUGCGUCCGAUACUGGUUGGCUUGAAUCCGGGAGAGGGAUGCGGAAUUCCAGGUGUAGCGGUGAAAUGCGUAGAUAUCUGGAGGAACACCGGUGGCGAAGGCGGCAUCCUGGACCGGCAUAGACGCUGAGGCGCGAAAGCCAGGGGAGCAAACGGGA
rnacentral:rRNA from 1 species